rnacentral:rRNA from 1 species
AUGUCGACGAGUAUGGCAACCCGGUGGCCGGACAUGGCGUCGGCACUGGCAUGGGCGCGCACAGCGGCGUCGGCACCGGCGGCUCACAAGACCGGAGGGAUCCUGCAGCGCUCCAACAGCUCUAGUAGCUCAAGCUCGUCCGAGGAUGAUGGCAUGGGCGGGAGGAGGAAGAAGGGCAUCAAGGAGAAGAUCAAGGAGAAGCUCCCCGGUGGCCACGGUGACCAGCAGCAAACCGCUGACACCUACGGGCAGCAGGGACACACCGGAAUGACCAGCAGCACUGGGGCGCAUGGCACCACGGCCAUUGGCGGCACCUACGGGCAGCAGGGACACACCGGAAUGAGCGGCAAUGAGACGCACGGCACCGACGACACCGGUGAGAAGAAGGGCAUCAUGGACAAGAUCAAGGAGAAGCUGCCCGGACAGCACUGA